rnacentral:rRNA from 1 species
GAUGAACGCUGGCGGCGUGCCUAAUACAUGCAAGUCGAGCGAACGGACGAGAAGCUUGCUUCUCUGAUGUUAGCGGCGGACGGGUGAGUAACACGUGGAUAACCUACCUAUAAGACUGGGAUAACUUCGGGAAACCGGAGCUAAUACCGGAUAAUAUUUUGAGCCGCAUGGUUCAAAAGUGAAAGACGGUCUUGCUGUCACUUAUAGAUGGAUCCGCGCUGCAUUAGCUAGUUGGUAAGGUAACGGCUUACCAAGGCAACGAUGCAUAGCCGACCUGAGAGGGUGAUCGGCCACCCUGGAACUGAGACACGGUCCAGACUCCUACGGGAGGCAGCAGUAGGGAAUCUUCCGCAAUGGGCGAAAGCCUGACGGAGCAACGCCGCGUGAGUGAUGAAGGUCUUCGGAUCGUAAAACUCUGUUAUUAGGGAAGAACAUAUGUGUAAGUAACUGUGCACAUCUUGACGGUACCUAAUCAGAAAGCCACGGCUAACUACGUG